rnacentral:rRNA from 1 species
AUUGAACGCUGGCGGCAUGCUUUACACAUGCAAGUCGAACGGUAACAGGGUGCUUGCACCGCUGACGAGUGGCGAACGGGUGAGUAAUGCGUCGGAACGUGCCGAGUAGUGGGGGAUAACGCAGCGAAAGUUGUGCUAAUACCGCAUACGUACUGAGGUAGAAAGUGGGGGACCUUCGGGCCUCACGCUAUUCGAGCGGCCGACGUCUGAUUAGCUAGUAGGUGAGGUAAAGGCUCACCUAGGCGACGAUCAGUAGCGGGUCUGAGAGGAUGAUCCGCCACACUGGGACUGAGACACGGCCGAGCACCCUACGGGAGGCAGCAGUGGGGAAGUUUGGACGAGGGGCUAAAGCCUGAUCCAGCCAUGCCGCGUGUCUGAAGAAGGCCUUCGGGUUGUAAAGGACUUUUGUCAGGGAGGAAAUCCCUAGUGCUAAUAACACUGGGGGAUGACAGUACCUGAAGAAUAAGCACCGGCUAACUACGUGCCAGCAGCCGCGGUAA